AUCAACUUUCGAUGGUAGGAUAGAGGCCUACCAUGGUGGUAACGGGUAACGGGGUGUUAGGGCACGACACCGGAGAGGGAGCCUGAGAAACGGCUACCACAUCCAAGGAUGGCAGCAGGCGCGCAAAUUACCCAAUCCCGACACGGGGAGGUAGUGACAAUAAAUAACAAUACGGGGUUCUUUCGGAUCUCGUAAUUGGAAUGAGUACAAUUUAAAUCUCUUAACGAGGAACAAUUGGAGGGCAAGUCUGGUGCCAGCAGCCGCGGUAAUUCCAGCUCCAAUAGCGUAUAUUAAAGUUGUUGCAGUUAAAAAGCUCGUAGUUGAAUUUCGGGGUCAAUAAGUUGGUCGUGCCAAUGGUAUGCACUGGCUUUAUUGAUUCCUACCUCUUGACGAACUGUGAUGCCAUUAAUUUGGUGUCGUAAGGAAUCAGGACUGUUACCUUGAAAAAAUUAGAGUGUUUAAAGCAGGCUUACGCUUGAAUACAUUAGCAUGGAAUAAUGAAAUAGGACGUUUGAACCUAUUUUGUUGGUUUCUAGGAUCGACGUAAUGAUUAAUAGGGAUAGUUGGGGGCAUUAGUAUUCAAUUGUCAGAGGUGAAAUUCUUGGAUUUAUUGAAGACUAACUACUGCGAAAGCAUUUGCCAAGGAUGUUUUCAUUAAUCAAGAACGAAAGUUAGGGGAUCGAAGACGAUCAGAUACCGUCGUAGUCUUAACCAUAAACUAUGCCGACUAGGGAUCGGAUGAUGUUAAUUUUUUUAAUGACUCAUUCGGCGCCUUACCGGAAACCAAAAGUGUUUGGGGUUC
rnacentral:rRNA from 1 species